CCAAGCCUCGUGCUCUGACUCCAUUCGAACUCUCCCAAUCUUUGUGCGACACAACGUAAAUUACUGUUCUUGCCCAUUUCCGAAACCCUAGAUCCCCCUCUUAGUCAAUUUCAAGAUGGUGUCGGACGCAAGCAAGAAGAAGGCAGCGCAGAAGAAGGCGGCAGCGGCGGCCAAGAGAGGUGGCAAGGCCGCGGCUCCUGCAUCCUCGUCGAAGACGGCUGAAAAUGGAAGUAAAGUUGAUAAUUUGGCGAAUGAGGUCGAAGCGCUUCUGAUAUCCGAUCGGACAUGUACCGGAGUUCUGUGCUCUCAUCCGCUUUCCAGAGAUAUUCGGGUUAGUUGUCAGAUUCAAUUUCAGUUUUGGUUCUGAUGAAUUUCUUUUUUCUUUAUUUUUUUAAUUUCAGAUUUCUUGGUUUGUAUUGUUUACA